rnacentral:snRNA from 1 species
UAUUUAAGACUAAGUAGCUUGCUGAUUUAGGAACAGUAUAAAGAAAAUUAGCAUGGACCCUGUGCAAGGACGACCCCAAAAUUCGUGAAGUGUUCCUUCCAUAU